rnacentral:rRNA from 1 species
UACGGUAGGGUGCGAGCGUUGUCCGGAAUUAUUGGGCGUAAAGGGCUCGUAGGCGGUUUGUCGCGUCGGGAGUGAAAACCUCGGGCUUAACUCGGGGCUUGCUUUCGAUACGGGCAGACUGGAGGUAUGCAGGGGAGAACGGAAUUCCUGGUGUAGCGGUGAAAUGCGCAGAUAUCAGGAGGAACACCGGUGGCGAAGGCGGUUCUCUGGGCAUGACCUGACGCUGAGGAGCGAAAGUGUGGGGAGCGAACAGG